rnacentral:lncRNA from 1 species
GGGACCCAGCUCCGGGAGAGCGGGAAAACGGGACAGGGCAGUAAAUCCUCGGGGCACGUAUCGGCCUCUGGCAUCUCUGGGCUCCACACGCACCCUCCAACCCCAGGGCUUCUUCACUCCCUGAUGUCUCCCUGGGCUACAGGUGACCCGGACCCAGAGCAGGGAUGUCCCCUGAUGCCAUCCGCACCCCCAGGACAGCUGGAUGACAGCGGGCAGAUGGUCCAGGGCAGAGGUGCAAAGCCCCUGCCACAACCACCCGUGGAAGGGGGUCUGCUCCCAUUGCCCCCCAGCGCGUCCCCGGUGUCGGAGGCGGUGGCCCGACGAGCCCUCCUGCGCUUCGUGUCCUCCCGGGGCUGCUGUGGGCCCGGUGCGGGCGAGGAGCCGGCCAUCCGGCGGCUGCGGCAGCGGGGGACGUACCGGGUGAGUGCCUGCAGCUCCAACACAGGGACACCCAGCCACAGAGAGCCAGCCAGUUGUUAAAUUAAAUGGCUUUCAUCCUGCUUUAAGGGCAG